rnacentral:rRNA from 1 species
UUGGUGACCAGCGGAGGGAUCAUUACCGAGUUUACAACUCCCAAACCCAAUGUGAACGUUACCAAACUGUUGCCUCGGCGGGAUCUCUGCCCCGGGUGCGUCGCAGCCCCGGACCAAGGCGCCCGCCGGAGGACCAACCAAAACUCUUAUUGUAUACCCCCUCGCGGGUUUUUUUAUAAUCUGAGCCUUCUCGGCGCCUCUCGUAGGCGUUUCGAAAAUGAAUCAAAACUUUCAACAACGGAUCUCUUGGUUCUGGCAUCGAUGAAGAACGCAGCGAAAUGCGAUAAGUAAUGUGAAUUGCAGAAUUCAGUGAAUCAUCGAAUCUUUGAACGCACAUUGCGCCCGCCAGUAUUCUGGCGGGCAUGCCUGUCCGAGCGUCAUUUCAACCCUCGAACCCCUCCGGGGGGUCGGCGUUGGGGAUCGGCCCUGCCUUGGCGGUGGCCGUCUCCGAAAUACAGUGGCGGUCUCGCCGCAGCCUCUCCUGCGCAGUAGUUUGCACACUCGCAUCGGGAGCGCGGCGCGUCCACAGCCGUUAAACACCCAACUUCUGAAAUGUUGACCUCGGAUCAGGUAGGAAUACCCGCUGAACUUAAGCAUAUCA